CCUACGGGAGGCAGCAGUGAGGAAUAUUGGUCAAUGUGCGGAAGCCUGAACCCGCCAAGUAGCGUGCAGGAUGACGGCCCUACGGGUUGUAAACUGCUUUUAUACGGGACUAACGCGCCUUCCGUGUAGGGCUUUGCAUGUACCGUCUGAAUAAGGACCGGCUAAUUCCGUGCCAGCAGCCGCGGUAAUCCGGAAGGUCCGGGCGUUAUCCGGAUUUAUUGGGUUUAACGUGAGCGUAGGCCGCAUGUCAAGCGUGCUGUGAAAUGUCCGGGCUCAACCCGGGCCUUGCAGCGCGAACUGGCGUGCGUGAGUCCGCGGAAAGCAGGCGGAAUUCGUCGUGUAGCGGUGAAAUGCUUAGAUAUGACGAAGAACCCCGAUUGCGAAGGCAGCUUGCUGCAGCGGAACUGACGCUGAUGCUCGAAAGCGCGGGUAUCGAACAGGAUUAGAUACCCGGGUAGUC
rnacentral:rRNA from 1 species